GGGAACUAGAGAACCAUCAUCUCAUCAAUUCCUCUGAGUUAACACCUUGUUUCAAGUCUAAUUCUCCAGAGUUUCCCAAUAUCUGUCAUUCUCUACACUCUUGUUAUCUUCCCAUUAGAUUGCAAUUUACCAAAGGCAUGGGGCACCCUUUCUUAUUUAUAUCCCUAACACUUGGCAUAAUGCUUCUCAUAUAGCAGAUAGAACCAGAAAAUGUGCUUCUGGAAGAGGAACAAAAGUUGUGAGUGCAGGGAGACACAAAGGAGCUAGUCCAAAACAAGAAACAAAGAGGGAAGUGGCGAAGCUGGCCCAGUAAGCAGACUCGAGGGAAACAAAGGGAGAGCCCAGGCUGAGCCUUUGAUAUCUUAGUGGAGUCUCCAGCUAAGUCUUCUCCCUGCCGAGCAUCCCCAUCACUUCAGUCACUCAGCACUGACUUUACCAAAUGGCCAAGAAGUCAAGGAAUUAUUUGUCACACAGAAGCAAGUGUACUGGGAUCACUUCAAGAAUGCCAAAGGAGUGACUGUAAUAUUGUCCUGAGAAGAAGAGAUGCAUCAAUCUCACAGACUUUCAAGGGGAUAACUGUGGUCCCACCACAGUUGGUAGGGUACGUGCUCUUAUGC
rnacentral:lncRNA from 1 species